UACGUAGGGGGCGAGCGUUGUCCGGAAUGACUGGGCGUAAAGGGCGUGUAGGCGGCUUUCUAAGUCUGGAGUGAAAGUCCUGUUUUUAAGGUGGGAAUUGCUUUGGAUACUGGAGAGCUUGAGUGCGGAAGAGGUAAGUGGAAUUCCCAGUGUAGCGGUGAAAUGCGUAGAGAUUGGGAGGAACGCCAGUGGCGAAGGCGACUUACUGGGCCGUAACUGACGCUGAGGCUCGAAAGCGUGGGGAGCAAAC
rnacentral:rRNA from 1 species